rnacentral:rRNA from 1 species
UACGUAGGGACCAAGCGUUGUUCGGAUUUACUGGGCGUAAAGGGCGCGUAGGCGGCGUGACAAGUCACUUGUGAAAUCUCUGAGCUUAACUCAGAACGGCCAAGUGAAACUGUUGUGCUAGAGUGCAGAAGGGGCAAUCGGAAUUCUUGGUGUAGCGGUGAAAUGCGUAGAUAUCAAGAGGAACACCUGAGGUGAAGACGGGUUGCUGGGCUGACACUGACGGCUGAGGCGCGGAAAUGCCCAGGGGAGCAAACGGG